GAUGAACGCUGGCGGCGUGCCUAAUACAUGCAAGUCGAGCGAACGGACGAGAAGCUUGCUUCUCUGAUGUUAGCGGCGGACGGGUGAGUAACACGUGGAUAACCUACCUAUAAGACUGGGAUAACUUCGGGAAACCGGAGCUAAUACCGGAUAAUAUUUUGAACCGCAUGGUUCAAAAGUGAAAGACGGUCUUGCUGUCACUUAUAGAUGGAUCCGCGCUGCAUUAGCUAGUUGGUAAGGUAACGGCUUACCAAGGCAACGAUGCAUAGCCGACCUGAGAGGCUGAUAGGCCACACUGGAGCUGAGACACGGUCCAGGCUCCUAAGGGAGGCAGCAGUCGGGAAUCGUCCGCAAUAGGCGAAAGCCUGACGGAGCAACGCCGAGUGAGUGAUGAAGGUCUUCGGAUCGUAAAACUCUGUUAUUAGGGAAGAACAUAUGUGUAAGUAACUGUGCACAGCUUGACGGUACCUAAUCAGAAAGCCACGGCUAACUACGUG
rnacentral:rRNA from 1 species